rnacentral:rRNA from 1 species
ACCCGCACAAGCAGCGGAGCGUGUUGGUUUAAUUCGUUGCUACACGAGGAACCUUACCUGGUCUUGACAUCCCGAGAAUUUUCUGGAAACAGAGAAGUGCCUCGCAAGAGGAAUUCGGAGACAGGUGCUGCAUGGCUGUCGUCAGCUCGUGUCGUGAGAUGUUGGGUUAAGUCCCGCAACGAGCGCAACCCUUGUCUCUAGUUACCAUCAUUCAGUUGGGGACUCUAGAGAGACUGCCGGUGAUAAACCGGAGGAAGUGGGGAUGACGUCAAAUCAUCAUGCCCCUUAUGGCCUGGGCUACAAACGUAAUACAAUGGCGUAUACAAAGGGAUGCGAAAGGGCGACCUGGAGCAAAACUCACAAAGUACGUCUCAGUUCAGAUUGGAGUCUGCAACUCGACUCCAUGAAGGCGGAAUCGCUAGUAAUCGCGGAUCAGCAUGCCGCGGUGAAUACGUUCUCGGGGUUU